ACUUUCAUUUUUUUCUUAUGUUAGUUUGAAGGGCAUCCCCUGCCCUGGUUUGGUUUCAGUGAGUAAUGUGAAGCAGUACACUUGAGAACUAAUAUUAAUAAGACUUAUACUAAUAUGCACUUUUACAACUUGUAUUAAUAAGAAUUAUUUAUGAUGACAUUGACUCAAAAUUUUCAUUAUAUCUAUAUGUGUCCCAUGUGGUAAGGUUUCUAUAGGACAAAAUGAUAUGUUUAUAGAUGUAAUUAUGCAUUAGCUUCUGGAUAUUAUGCCUUACUUUCACUGUUUUAUGGGUAUUAAGUGCCAUUGUUUGUAUUUAUUUUGUGGUUCACAUGCUUUAAUACAUUAUUUUGUGUUUGAAGAAUAUAAAGUCCUAUUUAUUGUGUACAGAGGAUGGUUAGUGAUUUGUAUAUAUUGCCAGCUAAAUCAGUCAUUCCUUCAGAGAAUGAGUGGUUCUUCUUUUCUUCUCGUGGAAGGAAGUACCCAAAUGGCUCACAAAGUAAGAGAGCAACUGAAUCUGGCUAUUGGAAAGCCACUGGGAAAGAACGAAAUGUGAAGUUAGGAUCUAAUUUGAUUGGCACUUAUUCACCCAAAAAAAAAUUUGAUUGGCACAAAAAGGACACUGGUGUUCCACACUGGUCGUGCACCAAAAGGGGAGUGGACAAAAUAGAUAAUGCAUGAGUAUUGUAUGAAUGGAAAUCCUCAGCAAAGAGUAGACACAAAUAUUGCAGAUGGCUGUGAUGCUCUGAAUCUGGGUGUGGCUGCUGAUAGCCUUUGGUUGUUUUUAUUUGUGGUGUUUGGCUUGAGGUUUGAUCUUGUAGUUGAAGGUUGGUAAUGGUGAAGAUUGCAUACCUCGUAAUGGACGAUGGAAUUUUAACAAGCAACUCUUUACCCCCAUCCGAAUAGAACGGUGGGAAGUUGUCAACGUCUCUGCUCAUUGUGAUACAAGUCAUCUUUCCCGAGAACUUAUUAACUGUGGAAGGAACAAGGGCCUUGUAAGUACCCUGUAUUUGUUUCUAUGAUGGGUAUUAUUGUUUCAAACAAGCUUUGCUUGAUAUAAUUAAUUGUUUUCUUUACAUUCAGAAUAUUCCUUUUUGUCUUGAAGGAAGAACAUAAGAAUCCUUGAUUUUUUUAUUUUUAUUUUUAUUUUUUUUACUAUAAUGCGACGUC